UGUUGACAGUGGGCUGGGUUUGGCCUGGUCAUUAGGUGUGGAACUCCCGGCUUGUGGUAAAUCCUGAUUGGAAAACAGUAUAAACAUAUUUCCUGGUAAAUGGGUAAACAUAUAGAGAGAUGGUGGUUGUUCCCCUCCCGUCACCAGCACACCGUAGAAGCAAUUGGAAGCAAUUUAGGUGUGCUCAGCAUCUGGCCCUCAUAAAAGGCCUCGAGUGAGUCAUGAUUUUGCACCAACAGAGAAGGCUUGUCUCGCUUGUGGAGAGAAUUGUAUUUGCCUCCCAUUUUGCCCAUGAAUCUCUCCACUGCUUUAUGAUGAUCAGUCUGAUUUGUGUGCCGAGAGACUGGAGUCUGUGGAGAGCAGCUUAAGAUUGCCCAGCGGUUGUUCCUACCCACUCAGUGGCCUGAGCAGUGGGAGCUGCAGACCCGUCUUGAGUGCGCUGUGGGGACAGCUGGACAGGCACAGAGGGCACCUGCAUGCCCUCAGACCAGCCUGUGACCUCAGGAUGAGUCGCAGUAAACUCAGGAGCUGGAGCAGGGUCACAGCCUUCUCCGCACGGCUUGCUUUUCCUUCUCAGUCCCUUCAGGACCUGGGAAGCGCUGAAGAUCGGAC
rnacentral:lncRNA from 1 species